ensembl:rRNA 5S_rRNA 5S ribosomal RNA
GUCUAUGGCCAUACCACUUGAAUGCAUCCGAUCUCAUCUGAGCUGGGAAGCCAAGCAGGACUGAGCCUGGUUAGUACUCAGAUGGGGAAAAGAGCAGGCAGGACAGACACAGACA